rnacentral:lncRNA from 1 species
UAUAAUGAAAAGCGAUCUUCUUUGAGAUAUAUAUUUUUCCUAUUUACCAAGCAAACCACGGAGGAGUAUUAUAACAAACUGCAUGAGACAACAAAGUGAGCUUCAAAGCCACAUCUAUCUGAUAAAGACACUCUGUUUCUUCCUUAUUGAAUGCGGUGAACCACAAGACUCCUCGAAGUGGGCUGCAUCAACCUUUUAUUUUUUUCAUGAAAAUGAACAUAUCCAACAUGACAAACGAACUGCACUAGACCGGAUUUAAACAAAAACAAAAGAGUGUUAAAACAAUUCAGGAAGUGAACUACCUAAAAAGAUGACCCCCAUGGAGGAGCGAACCUCUCCAACAUACACAGUGAACCCCUCAUAAAAACGACCACGUGUGCAUAGUCCAAGGGAACUGCCCGUGCACACGCGAGUUCACCGGAAAACCGUCGACGCCAUGGGCCAAAUUGCACGUCCCGUUGGUCAAGCUGCACUCCUACGUGCGCAAAACUGCAUGGUGGGCAGGGCAACCUGAAGUCAGGUGGUUUCAUGGAGGAAUUACCAUAGCCAUAGGUAGGAAACGGUGAAAAAUUUAUAGGGGAGUGAGAUCACCUAGUCACCCAAGACUGAUGAGCACUAGCCCAGGAAUCCUUUUCAUCGGUUUCUGCAAAACAAACAGAAAUCAAAGACAAAGAAGCACAAAUCUAGCGGUCAGCUCGGAUUGGAACAAAAGGUAUAUCAUACAUAAAUUCUUCGGCUGGCGCACACAAGGAAGCCAAAUUCUGAAUCGACAAGGCAAGUUGACCAAGUAAACUACACUUUGUCUCGAAAUAAUAAACUGAACUUCACGAGCACCUUACUUUUUUAACAAGUUUCUCUAACAGCUUUUUUGGGAACUUCAAUCAUAUUUGUUUGUGAACUUCAGUCCACUUUCAGGCUGCAGGUGGGACAAUACAUGGGAGUCCCACCUCCAACCCACCUGAUCCCACUAUGUUUAGUGGGAGUAACUCGACACCCCAUCAAAACAUGCAUAAAUUAUAUGGGCUCAAGUGGGAUCCCAUUUAGCAAAUGGAAGAUUGAAACAUAAUACUCCAGUACGCACUAGUUUAGCAUCCAUCUGCCGAGUCCACAUUACAGUGUCACCCUUACUCCUCUGUUCUCUGUAAUUUUGCUUCUUUCGUUUUAGUUAGCACUGCACGAGCCCACUAUAGUGUGUGUGCGCGCUGUGCAACGGUGCAAGUCAGCAUCGACGACCGCAGUGCAAGCAUAUGUAGUCCGGUGACUAGCUCUCCCUUUCCAUUGGUGUUGAAAAUAGAAGUAGAGAAGAAAAUAUUGCAGCAUGUUUAGAGCUGCCAGAAACACACGACUCCUCUGUUCUUCAUGUGUGUGAGAGUUGAGACCUGACAUUGCCCAGCACUUCGGACCUGCAGUCGCCUCCACGGCCAGGCGACCGACCAUGGAGCACCACAUGACGUUCCUCUUGGCGGCCAUAACCAAUCAGCAGACCUGCCUGCAGCCCGACAUCCGCCAGAUCUUGCUUCCAUGGCCAAGAAGCUGCCCACUAAUCCUUGCGGCCUGGUGCCAGGAAGAAGAAACAGGGGUGCAGCAGCGGCGACGGCCAUCAAUCGGCGGCAGCGGCGGGAGCAUGCUGUGGCACCGUGCUCUACUGUGCAGUUGGCUAGCUUAAUAGGGCAAGAUGGGAUCCCAACGGGCUAAGUGGGAUAGCCCGAUUAACUUUUUCCCUAUCCAAUGGGAUUCCACUAAAGCAAAUUAAGUGGGAUGGACUAGUUAGUCCCACUUGAAUCCACUUCCAUCUGCAGUCUGAGUCCACUUGGUCUAGAUAGUGAGGUGCUUGCGCACGUCGCUUGUGUGAAGUGAGCAGGUCGUGUGGGAGGCGAAAUUGGUGAACACCACCGGCAGUCUAACUGCAUUGGAGCACCAAGCGGUGAGCUACAUCACCAUACGAACCGCACUGCACGCAUGCGAUGGGGGAAGCAAACGACACGCAGAUGAGCUCCGCACCACAGGGGUGCAUCGCGUGAACUGCACAGGGGGUCUACUGUUGACAUUGUCGCUGCCAUCGGGGCCAGGGAGGACCCGCUGCUGUAUACCAGGGGGGCUGCUGCGCCCGUUGGUGGCGAGGUAAGGUCCGAGGCUGGCAGGGAGGCACGUGUGGAGGGUUGGGAAGCGUCGGCGUGUGGCCGAGCUAGGUGCCGGCCCGAGCUCGAGUAAGAGGAGAUGAGGAGGCUAUCGGUGACACCCUGCUGCUCCUUGGAAGUUGGAUCAGGGAAUGAAGAGGGUCACGGCGGUGCCUGCAAAGCGCCGGUGGAGGAAGAUUGCAAUUUGCAAGAAUGGCAAUCGGAGACUGCGGGGCGGAGGAGCGGCUCACCUGUUUGACUCGUGUGGCGGCUCGGUCGUCAGAUCCAGGGGUCGACGUGGAGGAGGGCGGAUUGCAGCGAGGCGUAAGGCUGGAGUGGCGGCAACGGCGCUGGUCAGGGAGGUGCAGCGCUGGGGCGGCGGCGGCGGCGCGACCGAGCUGCACGGGGGCCGCGACCAAGCUGCACGUGGUGGGGUGGCACCCGAGUACCUACGGGUGGCGCAGAUGAGGGUCUCGCCGGAGACCGCCACGAGGAGAGGGCUCGUCGUCGACUUGAUCCAGAUCGAGGACGAAUGGCGGAUCCGGGCGUGGGGAAUGGGUGAUGCCGGGCAGGGGCGGCGGGAGACCAGCCCGAGGGGCACUAGGAGGUGCGGCCAGCUGCGGCGCCGGCGGGGGAAGAAGCCGGAUGAGGUCCGCCCUGACUCGUUGGAUGUCACCGUCGGCGCACGAUCUAGGGAGGAGAGGUCCAUGAGGGGCUCACCGGAUCUGGGGAGGAGAGGGCCACGGUGACCUCGACGCCCCACGGCCGCAGCCAUCUGGGAGGCCGGAUCCGGUGGGUUCUCGUCGUGAACCCACGGCCGGAUGCGGUGCUCGGCUACCCUUGUUGCACGAAGGAAGUGCUGGUGGCCAGGGGGGGCAGAGCGGGGAGACGGUGGUUGGAGCCACGGUGGCCGGGGCGCGAGAGAUCUGGCGGCGUCGGUGCCAGGAAGAAGGUGGGGAGCGGGGUUUCUGGUGGCGCGGGGGCCCCGGCAGAGAAGAAGGUGGGGGAGCGGUGGUUCUGGUGGCACGAUGGCCCCGACGGGGAAGAAGGUGGAGGAGCGCGUGGGGUUGCGCGGCGAUGGAGGCUCAGGGGUGGUGGAUCUAGUUCCGGUCGGGGGGACGGAAGAGUGUUAUCAGAAUAAGGCGAUUUGACGUGCAGAAUAAGCUCUUAAGGUGUUAUCAUAUAUAUACUAGCAAAAGGGCCCGUGCGUUGCAACGGGAAAAAAAUUCAUAAUCUUCAAUGGCCAUGAUCACAUUUUGCUGCAUCACUGAGAUACACUAUCACUCUCAAUUUCGUAAAAUCAUGAAUACAUUUUUAAACUCAUGAGCAUAUUUGAAAUCGUGAUCUUUUUCAAAUUCGUGAACACUUUUACAAAUUAUCAAAUAUUUCUAAAAUCAACAAAGUUUAUUGAACUCAUGAACAUUUUAUACUGUUUGCAUACAUUUUAUAAAAAAUUGUGAACAUUUUUUUAACGAUUAUCUUGAAUCAGUGAACAUUUCUUGAAUGGAUGAACAUUGUUUUUGAUAUUUUUUCCAUUCAUUUUUGAAUUGGCAAAAUUUUGUUCAAUUUCAUUAACAUUUUUAAUACACAAACUUUUUAAAAAAUCAUGAACAUUCUCUGAUUUCCCAAAAAAUUGUUUUCAAAAUUUCGAACAUUUUUUGAAUAAGCAAACAUUUUUCAUCAUGAUACUUAAGAUAACACCAAUACCUCGUGCAAACAAUAUUUAAGAGAGUACCAAUAUUUAAGGUCGAGCAGAAAUGCAUGGAUAGCAUGAGGUGAUACUAAGACAAAUCAAAUUAUAUUCAACCAUAGAUAGGAUAGGCACAUCCAUCAGUAUUGUUUUAGUUUGAUAUAUUGCUGUCCAAGAGAAUUUUAGUUUAGAGACUGUUCGGAUCUCCUCAAAUCUGUGCUUCGCCGAUUAUGCGAAGCGGAGGCUUCUUGCGGUGCAAUUUGGUGAAGCUGCCAAAGCUUAGCUUCCCAAAUCCGAAAUCAUUGGAAUGCCACCACCAAGUCAUGUGACGCUUCGUUGUGAAUUCCCCUUCUCACGAACCCUAUUGAAGCGCCUUCCCAUGACGUCGCCAGUGUCCCCUUCUAACGAGCCCGACACCGCCCACUCGCCAGCCCUCCCCUUCCUCUAUUCGUCGUGCCAUCCAUCAUUGUCUCCCUCUCCUCCCGCUGACCUCCCCAGCAACGCCCUCUUCCACACCGAUUGCCUUAUUUCUAGGGUCACCCUCUACCCCGACGUAGACCACCUCCCCGUCGUCUGCCUCCGUUUUGUUUGUGGCAACCCCUCAGCCCAUGGAAGCUGAUCAACGCGUCGUAAAUGGUGUAGCUACUCCAAGGAAGCUGGAGCUUGAACGCUUCUGAAUAGGCUUACAUCCAUGUUUGUUGCCUUGGAGUUGCCGAGGCCAGAAAUUUUUUGGCUGUGUUAACUUCAGCCAAAAAAAGUAUAUCUACUCUAGUAAUAGCUCAUCUAAAUGAAUUAUGUUUUUCACUUGUAUACUUUGCAUGUAAUCUUUCGCCAAGAUCCAACACAGAUAUAACAUCACUAACAUUCAAUUGCAAAAAAGAAACAGAAAUUACUGACAUUCAAUCCACAAUUCUAACAAUUCUCUAAUUGACCUUUUUAUUCUAUUUUCCCGAUCUAAGGUCAGGACAACAUUUUUAGAUAACACAAUGUAUCAGUAUUAUCACCACUGCUAAAAUAAAGAAAUUUAGGACAUGGUACAAAAUUCAGAAUCACUACAUCUACAGUUCAUAUGAUAAACAACAGUGGCCUGUAGCUCGUACAUGUACAGUAUCCAUGUUAGAAAGACCCCAAGUAUUUCAAAUAGACACACACACACACACACAUAUAUAUAUAUAUAGAGAGAGAGAGAGAGAGAGAAUAUUACAUUACUCGACUCUCCAAGCAUGCACACACUUGUGUUUUGCAAGACUGUGCUCUGCCCCUACAAGCAGACCGUGCUCUGCCCCUACAAGCAUGCAUGUUAAAGUAAAUAUCCUGUAUAUUUGGCAUGUAAUCAGCCCUUGCCGUAUUAUCGGAUUGUAUUCUGUCUAUGAUUGAUACGGCUGGGUCAAGUCCUUGUUUCCCAAGGCAUCUGUACAUGAUGGAUAUAUAUACUAAUAUGAGCUGAUCGCCCAAGCGUGGCGUUUCCCUCAAUUCUCCCUGUCUCUCUUGUUUACAUGGUAUCAGACUACAUCUGCAUCGCAUCUGCAUAGUUCGAUCCUUCGGCCUGCAACUAGACGCCAUGACUUCCUCCGGCCAAACCUCCGGUGCUCUUGGCGCCAUGACCUCUCCAUCUCAGCUCUCUGCCACAAACAGCGCCCUCACCACCGUCACGGCUCCUGCAUCCCCGGCCUCCAACGCAGUGCAUGUGGCCAGCGUCAAGACCCAUGUCCCCGUCGUCCUCGACCUCAAGGCGUCGAACUUUACCAAGUGGCGCAUGCUGAUCACCGUUCUCUUGGGCAAGUACGACCUCAUCGGCCAUAUAGCUGCCGCUACUCCGGCUGCUGAUCGCACGCCAGAGUGGAGCCGCGAGGACUUCGUCGUCCGCUCGUGGUUGUACGGCUCCAUUAGCGACGACAUCCUGGAUAUUAUCAUGGCGGAAGACCAGACGGCGCACGAGGCGUACACGCUCAUCCAGAACUUGUUCCUCGACAACCAGAUGACGCGCGCUGUUUAUCUCGAGGCGGAGUUCCGUGCCAUCGUUCAAGGCGAUCUCACCAUCACCGCCUAUUGUCACCGGCUCAAAUCCCUCUCUGAUGCACUCCGCGACGUCGGCCAGCCGGUGUCGGAUCAGACCUUGGUCUUGACGUGCCUACGUGGCCUCAAUUCUCGCUUCGCCGACAUCACCACUCUGGUCACCAUGCAGGUUCCGUUCCCUACGUUCCUGCAGACAAGGUCUCUCCUUCUUCUUCGUGAGACGCAGCUCUCGCACACCAUGCCUACGCCACCGCCGCAGACCGCCAUGUACGGCCACGGCGCCGGUGCCUCCUCUGGCGGUGCCUACAAUGGAGACCGCUCCUCAGGUGACCGCAACUCCGGCGGCAACGGCGGCCGCUUCCAGAAAAAGAAGAAGAACGGGGGCGUCGGUCACUACCGUGGCAACGGUGGCGAGCGUAACCACAACGGCGGUGGCUCUUCCGGUACCCACGCUGCAGCUGGUCCGUGGAUCUGCUUCAACCCCUACACGGGCCAGGCCCAGCCGCUGCCGGUCUCCUGGCGCCCCGCUGGUGGAGCAGGCCUUCUUGGACCGCGGCCUGCUGCACCCCAGCGCCCGUACGUACCUGCCCAACAGCAGUUUGCGUACGCGCCGCCCCAGCAGCAAGCGUAUACUACGCUGCUCGCUCCACUCCAUGGGCAGGCGUACGGCACUGACCCACCGCCACCGGGUACACCCUCCAGCCACGGCGCUCCAGCUUGGGACUGCUCGGCGCUCAUGGCUGCCCUAAAUAAUGCUGCUGCAUCAUCUUCAUCCGCUGGUGAAUGGAUCAUGGACUCGGGAGCCACCUCCCAUAUGGUUUCCAACCCUGGUAUAAUCUCUCUUCCUUCCAAACCGCCUCCGUUUUCUCAUAUCACCGUCGGCAAUGGGGUCACUUUACCCGUUGUCUCCACCGGCCACAUGACUUUGCCUACUUCGGCACGUACCUUUGCUCUCAAUAAUGUCCUUGUCGUUCCUGAUAUUAUUAAAAAUCUUCUUUCUACUCGCAAAUUUAGUACCGAUAAUUCUUGUUCUGUGGAGUUUGACCCUCUUGGUUUUUCCAUCAAGGAUCUUCGAACCAGGCGCGAGAUCACACGCUGCAAUAGUCCCGGUCCUCUCUACACCGUCUCCGCCGCCGCCAACCCGUCAUCUACUUUUGGACUCCUCGCAUCAUCCGACUCCACCGAGCUAUGGCAUCGUCGAUUAGGUCAUCCAGGUCGUGACGCUAUGUCACAUUUAUCAAAACAGUUUGCUAUUCCUUGUAAUAAUGCAGCCGUUUCAGUCUGCCAUGCGUGUCAACUUGGCAAGCAUGUUCAUUUGCCGUUUUCUAGGUCUAAAACUUUUAGUGUGGUGCCUUUUCAGUUAAUUCACUGUGAUUUGUGGACAUCUCCUAUUCCGAGUAAUUCUGGUUUAAAAUACUAUCUUGUUAUUGUCGAUGAUUACUCCCACUACAUGUGGACAUUUCCUCUCCGCCAUAAGUCAGAUGCAACCACUGUGAUUACUAACUUUGUGGCAUUUGCACGCACACAGUUUGACCUUCCCGUUGUUGCCAUGCAAGCCGACAAUGGCACUGAGUUUGUCAACUCCACAUUGUCCACCUUCUUUACUGGUCACGGCAUCCAUCUUCGCCUUUCAUGUCCCUACACAUCUCCACAAAAUGGAAAAGCCGAGCGUGCUCUUCGCACCCUCAAUGAUAUUACUCGUACACUUCUCUUCCAAGCCCACAUGCCCUCCUCUUAUUGGGCUGAAGCUCUUGCUGCUGCUACCUAUCUUCUAAACCGACGACCUUCUCAGCCUAUUGGGUUUUCCAUCCCAUACGAGCUUCUUUAUCGCAUGCCCGCUUCCUAUGCCGAGCUACGUGUUUUCGGAUGCCUUUGCUACCCAAACCAAUCUGCCACAGCAAAACACAAAUUAUGCCCUCGCUCCACUGCAUGUGUUUUUCUUGGAUACCCCUCCUCACAUCGUGGCUAUCGUUGUCUUGAUCUUUCAAGUCGGCGUAUAAUCACUUCUCGUCAUGUCAUUUUCGACGAACAUACAUUUCCGUUUGCUAGUAUUAACCCUGCUCCUUCCGCUACAUCUCUCGACUUUCUUCUGGAUUUAGUAGCCACCGAGCCACCUCCAUUCACUCCUUCCCUCACGCAUGCUCCUGUUGCACCACAUGCACGUACUACUGAUCCACGUACUACUGCAUGUCCUAGCUCAGGUGCUAGUUCCUGUCCUAGCUCGCCCAUGCAUCAGCCACACUCACCAGCACCUGAUUCUCCUCCUAUGCAUGCCUCGCCUACCUCGGCCAACUCUCCCGCACCUGUCGCUUCGCCGGCGCAAGCUGCUGCACCAGAAACCCAGCCAAAAACCCAACGUGGACGUACUGUCUCUCGCACCGAACCAGCCACCAACACACACCAUAUGCUGACACGCCUCAAGCACGGCAUUGUCCAACCGGUUGAUCGCCUUAAUCUUUCGGCUGUUCACACCUCCAUUUCUCCUAUUCCUAAAACAUACCGGGGUGCCCUCCAUGAUCCUAACUGGCGUAGUGCAAUGGCUGAUGAAUAUAAUGCACUAAUUCAUAAUCGCACAUGGACCCUGGUUCCUUGUCCGGUUGGUGCUAAUGUUGUUUCAGGUAAAUGGAUCUUCAAGCAUAAGUUCGCAUCUGAUGGUGGCCUUGCUCGCUACAAGGCUCGAUGGGUGGUUCGUGGCUUUUCUCAGCAGCCGGGCGUCGACUUUGACGAGACAUUUAGCCCCGUCGUCAAGCCUGCCACCAUCCGCGUCGUCCUCACCAUCGCGGCUUCUCGUGGCUGGCCGGUUCACCAACUCGAUGUCAAAAAUGCCUUUCUCCAUGGCACAAUUGACGAGGUGGUGUACUGUGAGCAGCCCCCUGGCUUUAUCGACUCGGCUCGUCCUCAUCACGUGUGUCGCCUUCACAAGUCGCUCUACGGUCUCAAGCAGGCUCCGAGGGCAUGGUACCAACGCUUCGCCCACUAUGCUCAUCGCCUCGGCUUCGUCGCAUCUCUUUGUGAUGCUUCUCUCUUCAUACUUCGACAAGGCGAUGAGCUUGCGUACCUACUGUUGUACGUUGAUGAUAUCAUCCUCACAGCUUCGAGUUCGGAUCUACUACAGCACAUCACCGACAUGCUUCACCGCGAGUUCUCUAUGACGGAUCUCGGGGAUCUAUCCUAUUUCCUCGGGAUUUCGGUCUCUCGCUCGUCAUCGGGGAUGCUUUUAUCCCAACGCCAGUACGCCAUCGACCUUCUUCACCGUGCCGGCAUGCUUGAUUGCAACCCGUGUGCCACCCCCAUCGACACUCGUUGCAAGCUCUCCGCCGAUGAGGGUCCUCUCGUUGACGAUCCCACGGAGUACCGCAGUUUUGCCGGUGCACUUCAGUACUUGACACUGACACGUCCUGACAUAGCUCACGCUGUACAACAGGCAUGUUUGUACAUGCAUGCACCACGGGAGCCGCAUCUAAACCUUGUAAAGAGGAUUCUUCGCUAUGUCAAGGGCACAUUGGAUCUUGGUCUUCGCCUCCACUCGACACCGGCUACGUCUCUCACGGCCUACUCCGACGCUGACUGGGCAGGUUGUCCCAACACUCGUCGCUCCACUUCUGGCUACUGUGUUUACCUUGGGGACAACCUUGUGUCAUGGUCUUCCAAGCGCCAGGCUAUAGUCUCCCGCUCUAGUGCCGAGGCGGAGUAUCGCGCAGUGGCCCAUGCUGUAGCUGAGUGUUGUUGGCUCCGUCAGCUUCUUCAUGAGCUUCAUCGACCCCUCCACUCCGCGACCAUCGUCUUUUGCGACAAUGUCAGUGCUGUCUACAUGGCCUCCAACCCUGUGCAACAUCGCCGCACGAAGCAUAUUGAGAUUGACAUCCAUUUUGUUCGUGAAAAGGUGUCUCUCGGGCAGAUUCGGGUUCUUCAUGUGCCAUCGUCUCAACAGUUCGCUGACAUCAUGACGAAGGGUCUACCGUCUCAGCUCUUUUUGGACUUUCGGUACAGCCUGUGCGUUCGUCCUCCCGACGCACUGCCUGAGGGGGGAUGUUAAAGUAAAUAUCCUGUAUAUUUGGCAUGUAAUCAGCCCUUGCCGUAUUAUCGGAUUGUAUUCUGUCUAUGAUUGAUACGGCUGGGUCAAGUCCUUGUUUCCCAAGGCAUCUGUACAUGAUGGAUAUAUAUACUAAUAUGAGCUGAUCGCCCAAGCGUGGCGUUUCCCUCAAUUCUCCCUGUCUCUCUUGUUUACAAUGCACACACUUGUGUUUUGCAAGAUACACAACCAGAUUAUGGACAGAUAAUAUACAACAUCUGGUUUGAUGAUGCCCUUGUUCUUGGUAACCUACAACAAAAACAACUAAUCAUUUUCAUCUUCUGUUAGAGAUAGGGGUUUGUUGUACUGCGGGUACUACUAUAGGACAAGGGUUUAGAUUCUCUAUUGUUCUUUCUUGUCUAAAAAUGAAUAAGAAAAAUUAUAUCUUCAUCAAUGAUGUUGGCAAAAUUCUAUGAAGUCCUUCUAGCUGGUAAAUCAUUCAAACUAAUGGCGAUGUUUCCCUACCACCAUACAGGAAAACUUUGUAGCCUGACUGGAUCUCCUAUGAUUGCAGCAAGGAAUUUGCGUCAUUGCCACACUCUAAAACUGGAAUUUGUCUUUCAGGGAGACUGUGUCGAGUGACAAUGGACCUUAGCUUCUGUCAUAUAAGAAGAUCCUAUAUGACAAACUCUACUUCACGAAUUGGAGUAAGACAACUAUUGUCAUUAUUCUUCUGAACAACUAAUAAAAUGAAAUCAUCGACAUCCAACUCACAUUUAGCAUGCAUACGUCACGAAGCACGUCCUUCUUCCAGAAUAAAUAAUAGUAUAAUUCUCAGAAAACAUAUUCUGUUUUGACUGACUUAUGGAAAACAGAAGUUUUAGAAUGUUUUCUUCCCUGACAGAAACUUGCUUUGCUUCCCUCACACUAUUAGUUCCAAUACAACAUAUCAGAUACAGGUUUUUUUUAUUGAUUUUCUUUUUAUGAAAGAAACAUGCAUGUGUAGAACGUAAUGAUAUCAUGUUUAGAGUUAACUACCGAACAUUAAAUGUUUGGCACGUAGCAUUUUUGCAGCUUGAUAGACAAUCAUAGAGUUAUUGCAAAAGCAGGAGCAUGUACCAGAUAAUUUGCAGAAUCACAACAUCUGGAGGUGUCUUCAAAGUUACAGGACUGUUCUAUGUCACAUAAAAAAGUUAAAUCGCUAUUAGAUUAAGGGACUGCAUUCCUUCUCCAAAUUACUACUCGUAAAAUUUUGCAAACAGGCCCAAAUGCAGAUUUGUAUGAACAACCUAAACUAUGCGAUUGCAGUUUCAGACUUUUAAUACCACUUGACACCAAUAUUAUCAGAAGUAUAGAUGGAAGUGCAUACUACGCGUUUAUCACAUCGACUUGUGAUAACCGAAAGGAUAACUAAGCACAAUGUGCACAUGAACCACAAUGCUAAUUCAAGUCCAAUAAACCAUGUGAAUUUUCAGGAAAAGAAUGUUAUGUGAUCCAAAUGAAAUUGUUAUUUAGAUAUACAUAGUGUCGAUCGAAACUACUGUGGCCUUAAGAGAAGCAGUAGACAUCGAGCUAGAAACAUACUACAGGUAGAUAACAUAAGUGCCAGGAUCCAAUAUUCAGUAAGAACAAUUAAAGCACCAAGUAGCCAAAUCAAAAUAUGUCCAUUUGCGCCUUUGUACAGAGAUUGAACAUGCUGAAACGCAGUGGAAGUAAAUCACAUGGGUAGCUGGUUAUAUUGUCUUAAAGUGAUCUUCUCAUACUGGAACCAUACAGAAAGUAAAUAGCAGAUUAUAUCGUCCUAAGUGAUCUUGCUAGAGAGGAUUAUCUAGAGAAAUGAUAAAGGAGAAAUAUAACCAACCUUGACCUGUUUGCAGCAUUUGGCCCCCAAGGCAACCUGGGUCAUUUACAAAUCCAGAUUUUAUACACCUCAUAGUCACCGGCAUCUUGCCACAAUAGGCCAAUACCUAGCCACUCAUAGUACCAUCAUCGUCCAUUGUUCUGGCCUGUUGCAUUCCUGGAUUGCAGUACACCUGAAAUUGUAGGAGUUCAUAACCUGGACACCACAGAGAAAGCUUCAUUGGUUGAGAAAAUUCGUUGCUUUUCACCACCUGCUGUAAGGGAAAGUACCAAUCACCCCAUUGAUCCUCCCUCUAAUAUCAACAAGCUGACAAAGUGGCAAUGGAGACCAAGGCUUAGCAUAUUAUUUCAAUCGAUUUGUCUACAACUUGUGUAUGUCCUGCAGAUUGAAAUUGAAGCGGUGAAGACCCUCUGGAAGGCAAGCCAAAGGAAGAGCACAAGUUUGUUAGGGAGGAGCGGCUGGGACUGCCCAGGCACAACAGAUCGGGAGUAGCAGCUACGAUCGUCGGGGCGGGAGCGCCGCUACCAUGGCAUAGAGAUG